UCGCCGGAAUACGCGCUGGGCGCCAUCAGCCGCGCCGUGUUUAUUUUCGUUGCGUGGCUAUCGCAGGGCACCGAAUAACGACGUUAAUUUCCUGUUUACAAGCCGGUUAUUAUGGAGCAACGAGUAACGCGAGACCGUACCGCAAAUACACCGGAUUCCUCCGAAAUUUCUUCCGGUAAAAUGUCGAGCGAUCGAACUUUUAGCCGUCCUCGCGCCGGCUGCGAUACCCACAUCGCCGCGAGGCUUCUUUCGACGCUCGUAAAACGAUUUUCGAUAACUACCUCUUGCGUUUUCAAUACGAUACGGACGAGCGAGGGUUCAAGCAAAAUACCGAAACCUAUAAAUUUCGCGAUACUCCAUCGACCGGCGUAAAAUUUUUCGGGUAAAACGAGGCUAACGUUUCGACGGAUUCUACUAGCGCGAAAAAUCUCGAUUUCGAAGCUGCCCGCGUUCCGUUCGCUACAUGCACGCUACGAAACAGCGGAACGUUCGUCGAUACAUCCACCGCGAUCCAUCGACUCGACUAUUCGAACCAGCCGGUUCUCUUUUCCCCUUGUUCCCCCUUUCCAUUCUAAUGAUCGUCGCGUUCCGACGCGCUACGUGUAUCCCCGAACUCCCCUCGAUUUCGAUAUUGCCACGAUUCUCCUCGAACAGAGACUCGAUCGAAGUCGGGAGCGAAAUAAGAGGGAAGCGUUCGUUACGACGCUCCGUGCCGUGUCUUUCGAACGAUUUGCCUCGGUGACGUUAACCGCCAGUCGCCGAGGGCCUCUUCUUCCUUAUGACGGAAUCUCGACAAUAGUGGGAAUAAGUUACAAGUUCCAGCGUACGACGCAACAUGAUUUCCCCGGUGGCGUUCGCUUCUUCCUCCUACGCUUCGGUUAAUCGGCCGGACGAUUUGCCGAGGCUCGGUCGCGUCGUUUCUCUUCUCGCCGCCGCACAAAACCGCUAUACGUGUAUGGAACACGAACAAAUAUCUAUGACGACAUCCUUAUCCUCCGUUCGCGCUCGCAUUUUGUAAGUUUCAACGAAACUGUUUCCGCGAUUCCUCCCGAUAUCGGGUUAAGAAUUCCUGUUUUCGCGCAAUCAAAUUUCUUCGCGCAGUUAUCCUUUUUCACGAUUACGCGAGGCCGAGACGCGUAUCCGUUAUCCGGAAGGUACCGGUUGAACGAGUUUGCGUAGCGUUAUCCGGACGUCUUUCCUUUUCGAGCAGCGGAGAAAUUCGUUCUCGAUAUCGCGAAAAAGUUCAAUUUUCGUCGCAGCUUUCUUCUCCCUGUCGGGAACGAUCGGAGAAGCGGGGAGAUCGUUUCGGGGCGCAUCCUCGGAUGCGACAAUUUCGCGAUCGAGCUCUCUUCCGUGUUUCGAGACAGGCGGUAACGGCGCAUCGAGCAACGGGCGAAAACAGCGCGAAAUUAAGUAGAAAAAUUUCCAUCGAUCUCCGGGAUAACCCGUUUUUCUCUUUCUCUCUGGCUCUCUUCGUUACCCUUCCGUGCCGUUCCAUCUCGUUUAGCUGUCUCGUUUCGCUCCGGCGGUCUCGAUUCGUUUUCAAUUUUACUCCUCAAAUAUUAGCCGAAUCUUGGAACGUCGUCGGAUCCUUUCGGCGGCGUAAUUGAACGAGCGGGUAGCAUUAACGAGAAAUUAGCCCGGCCGAACCAUCGAAACUCCGCAGUCCGUAUCCAUGGAAUCGCUUACCGAAGUAGGUGCACCGGCAACGCGGGGGGAUCCGCGAAAAGCGAAGGAAGGAAAACGUGCCAGAAGUUCGGUGACUGAUCGAACUUCUUUUUGCCGGCGAAUCGAUUUCGAGAUCGGGACGGAAGAGACAGAGGUUUCUUUGGAACUUCCUCGAAACGAGUCCCGCGUCGAGGCGCGAUAACAACGAUAAAAAGGUUUUUAACGCGAACCAGAGUUGCAGAGGACCGCGUAAUCCCGCGGGUGACGCGUAACGCGCACAAUUUUUAUCCUCCGAUUCUUCUUACUUUUCGCGAUGUUUUUAUUAGCGACGGCAAUAAUUUUUAAUUCUUUCGCUCUUAUCCUUCCACGAGCGUCGAAAGCGUCGUAAAUUCUCGUGGUUUUUGCUCUCCGGGCUCGUUUCGCAACGGCGAAUAUUAUCGAAACGUUGCGGUCGAUGAACGCGCGCGAGUCUUAUCGCGUAAACGAAUCGACUCGCAAAGGGUUUAGAGUUCGACGCUCGGGAACGCGAAUCGAACCCGGUCGUCGAAGCGACGGUCCGCGGUGAACAAAAGGACAACGCGUUCCGGAUAAAGCGGAACAAAACGGGGAAAAAGGAAGUCGUAAACCCUCGCCUCGUCGAAUUCGCGGCAAGAACGGUAUCCUCGUUAACGAACUCGUCGUAAUCGGAAACGUUGCUCACAGGAUGUCGCGGUUCGAUUUCGUUUCGGACGACAAGAUCGAUUUUUAGCGAACGUCUAUCCAUCCCGAAGAGUUAAUUAAACGCGCGUUAACGCGAACGCGAAGGUAACGUUUUUGUAGCGUCGGAAAAAGUAACGCGUUGAACGUGAUCGGUUUGUCGACGGAAAAUAUUUUGCGACUCGGUCAUAAUCGUUUUAUUAGUUAUUUGUCUCGUACGUCGCGUUCGCGCGCGUCGAAGUAAUAAUAAUAACGCGGGAAAUUACUUUGUAAAAACUGUUGGCGAGAUUGCGCGUCCCGGUGACCCAAUAUUCGUCAAACAAUGCGAAAUUACGGCACAAUAACGCUGUCGUUUUCUCUUUGCGGCUGAUAAAAACUGAUGAUGCGCUUUCAACGCCAGCUUCGCUUAUCCUGGUUAAUAAUCUCGCGGGGAACGUAGCUCGGAGGAGAAAAAGAAAAGAAAGAGAGUAAAAGCGCGUCUGAAAGUUUGUACGCGACGCAACUCGUCUCGCUUAUUCUUUUUCCCGAAAGGUUAAGAUUCUCGUAACGAGUUAACUCGUCGUAAGUUUGUUCGUAGUUGUUUUCGUUUGUCGGUACAAGCGCCGGCAAAGAAAAUUUCAAAGUAAACCGUUAACGAAAUUCCGCGAUGCAGCUUCUAGAUAAGAACGCGGAGUCUCGGCGUCGCGAGAGCUUUUUUCGAGCUUCCUGGUUACACGGCCGAUCGGUCUUCGAAUCCUUCCGUUCGCUGCGAAAUCGUUGUUGCAUAGACAGGAACAAAAUUGAUACGGUUUCCGAAUCGAAACGUUGCUCGUAGACCUGGUAAUGGAAAAUGUCGAAUAAUCCGAUGACCGUUGCCCCUUGCCGGUAAACGCGUGCCCCGUAGACCAGAUCCAAAUUGAAUUCCCCGAGGCUAGCGGAUGCGCGAUUAAAAGCAGGGAAAUUAUAUUAAUAACGUUCAUUGCGGAUCCGCUUUAUGGACUCGGAAGAAUCUCGACCACCGGACAGUCCGCGCAUCAAUUUCAAUUUCGGUCGAAACGUUUCGACCAAAUAGUAUAGCCGUUGAAGGGCGAUUUAAAGGUUGGGGACGAUCUUCGGUUUAGCGAAGAAAUCGUGGACGAAUCGGAUUGUAAAAUCGUCGUACGUUUGACGACCGGGUCGAAUCUGUCCGAAAGUGUAAAACGAAAUAACCUUCGCGGUUAGAUUUCGUUCGAAAGAGCGCGCAACGGUAUUCUUUCUAAACGCUCCUAGGAGAGUCAUUCGUUUCGGAGGAGAUUCUGGUAAUAGAACGACGCGACGGUUUGCCAGGCGAACGAGCGAGUAUCUCGUCGACGUUAAGAGGCGGUAUUAACCUUCGAAAGCCGUGAUCGUUGCACGGAAACAACCGUAUUCGUCUUUACUUAUUUUCACGAGCACCGUUUAAUCGCCGUUCGAUUUUUACCGCCGGUCGUUGUCGCUGACGCAAACGUCCUCCGCUCAGUUUCCUCUCUAUCCAGGAUUCGUCGAAUGCGAGAAAAUUUGUAAACGGACUAGUUGCGGUUCUCGGGUUACUACGGGUAGGCGGUCGAUGAUGCCAGAAAUGUUCGUAACGGCAGAAGCUGCGCUAUAGAAUCCCUUGCGAGAAAGGGAGGCGUUAGAAAGGAUUUCUGGAGCACGAAGAAAGAUAAGGAAGCGCGUAGCGUCGAGAUAGCGCGUCGCGUGCAUUAUACGAAUAGUUUACCGUUUUCGCGAACAAAGGGCAGACGAUGAGAUAAACGCUGAUCAAGCCCGGUAGAUAGGUAGGCUCGGUUAUCGCGUUUUUAACGUGUCCCACGCGCAAACAACGAAUCCGUACUUGCCGUGUUUGCUUUCUUCCGGCGAACGUCUCUGCGAGUCACGCGGUCCACCGGACGGACCGCGCAAACUUUCUAACGGAGAACUGUCCCCGGUAGAGAGGCUAGAUAACAGAACGACCGCGCGAUAUCGCCGCUCCGCCAUCGUAUCGUAGCUAAUUAAUUUUGCGAUUUCGCAGCGAAGCUUUUAAAAAAGUACCACCAGCCUUCGCCAACCGCGUCGCAUAAUAUACGGUACGAGCCUGGCGUUAAUCACGGUUUCAGCGUUUUCUAUCCGGCCGAUAACUGGUCGUCGUAAUUCCGGCAUAUCGGCGACGAAUAGAGCUCGUUUAAAAUCCGAGGAUAUCGAUUACGCGAAAAUCUCUGCGCGUCUUUCGGUGGUCCGAACGCGUUCAACCUCCCCGACUGUUAGACGUACAAACUAAACGAGACUCGGAAUGUUAAUUACUCGAUUAGCGCGACACACGUGCUAGCCAGACGAGUGAUUUAUGACUUAGAUGCGCCGCGGUAAUCGAGGCUCGGGAAUAUUAACGUCGAAAGCUGAAUCGUAGCGCAUCCCGUUGUGUCACGAUCUAGCCGCAUCGAUGAAGAGAACUUUAUUAGGCGUUGUUCCGGUGGUUGUUCGUUUUACCCGCGCCGACGUUCGUCCUAUCGUUCGGCCCCUGAAACUUCUCGACCGAUCGUAGUUCGAAUUCGACCGAUCGAUGAAUCGAAACGGUCUCCUUUCCUGGAGAGGGAAGCCCUCGAACGCUCCUGUCCUACUAAUCGCCGGAAACACGCCGCUUAACCGUUUCACGAGCACGCGUGCUAUGCGCGUAAUUCUCCGCUUAAUGGGCCGCUUUCCUCGCUAAUUUUCCUCGAAUCGUGCUUCCACUUAUAGGCCACCUGUCCGAAAUGGCUGACCGUAAACAGGCCAGCGGCGAAUUUCCGAAACGAUCAACUUCGUUUUCACUCGUAUUCUCCUACGACCCUCGUACUUUGACCGCGUUUUACUUUCCUGGCUCGCGCUGUUUCGAUCUCUCGAUGAUCGUCGACGCACCGUGUCGGAAAUCCGUUUUCCUAUUUAACUCGAGUAACUUCGGAGAAUUACUAUUGGAGAAUGUUCUCGUUACGGAUGAAAACGUGACAGGCGCGAAGGAAGAAAAACAGUUUCGGUAAUUUUUUUCUCGUCGCUUCGUUUCUCUGCUUCAAAUAUUCGCGAACAACAAAUUUUUUGUCCGCUAUUUCCGAAUCCAGCUCUGCCGUACGUUUCGUGCCGGAAAGAAUAGGUUAGCCAUAAAUUUUCGAUCGAACGUUCGAUUCGGCGAAACGCGGGACUUUGUCAGGAACGUCUGUCACGCUCGCGCACGUCGGCUGUCGCCGGUGAAAUUGUUUCGACGUUACCUAAAUAAUUUUCGCGAAGCUUCCCGCACGGUCGACCAAGUUUUACGUAAUUACGUGCGCGCGUUCGAGCGCACGAAUUUAUACCAGGCUAAAUAGUGCGAGGAACGCGACGCGAAAGUGAAUUAAAGGGAGCAAGUUCGUGGUUACGAACGCCCAUCGUAAUAAAAUUUUCUCGAGACGAGCUCCUCCGUUUCGCGUUAUCCCGUCGUCUUCUCGUCGUCGAAGCAAUACCUCGAGAAACCGAGAAUCGGAUUAUCCUCCUCGUUUUCGUACGUUUGCGCCGCGUUUUUAGCGGUCGAAGACAGAGGAUCCGAAAAUCGACUAACGAAUCGUAUCGCAUGAUGGAACAAUGGCAUUAACGAGAGCCAGUCGAUGGUCGAGAUGUUCGGAGCGGACGGCUCGAUCUUCUUCGACGUCGAAUUUCGUGGAACGUGGUCGCGUUCCGGUGUCAGGAAUCGAGUCGAACGAGCGGAAGACAGGAAAAGGGUAUAACGAGCGCGACGAGCCGAACGCAUCGAUUUCUAACUACACCCCAGAGAACGAACGAGCGCGGCACCGUUGUCGAAAUCGAUUUAAUUACCGAACCCAUUAAGGUAAUUGCUCGAGGAAGCGUGGAUUUUUUGCCACGGCGCGGCCUGGCGAUUUUGCGUUGCGACGUAGGGCGAUCGAUGGCGGCGCGCGCGCCGAUUACUCGAUGAAAUUGCGCGUCCCGGAAAUAAUUUCAUUUCGACGUACGCUCGUAAAAGGUCGGCGAAUAUCGCGAGAUUACGCGGAAGUUCGAUGUACGAUUCCACCUGAGAAGGUAGCUCCCCGUCGACCAACUUUUUUCCGAAGACUUCCGCUUUAACGUUCCCGCUUCGAGUUUCCGAUCGAAUUCAGUCCGCGCGAUUCGUUCUCCUUGAUGGCGUUCUCGAUUUAUAGAGAAGCACCGUCGAGUUCGCGUAAAACGCGAACCACGUUAUUAAUUUCAAACAGUUGAUUUCAAUGGUAUUAUCCGCGGCCGGCAAACGGUGCCGGCAUCGAUACGCGCGCCUGAUUAACGGCUAACGUAUUAUUGAAAUUUUCAUGCGUUAUGCAUGCCGCGUGGUCGGUAAUUGAUGAAGCCGCGUGGCUAAACGCGCAAAUUGAAACGAUGACCUGUCGAUUCGUAGAAUUUGCGACCGACACCGUCCCGUCGUUUCUUUUCCCGCCGCUAUUCCGUUCUCGUUUCGGCUCCCGUCUCCGAACGAUUAUCGACUUUCGCGUUUCGAGAUUCGACGUUCAUCGAGUCUUUCCAGGUGACGAUAAUUAUUUUACGGUCGAGAGGAGCGUAGUGCGCGCAGCCACGAAAUUUCGUUCGGUUCUCCUCCCCUCUGUGUUUCCGUUUCCGUAUCUCUCGGUGCCUACAGUCUAUGCUCGGAGGGAAAAUCGAUAAACCCGACGCGGUUCGGAGUCGUUAAAGAAGGAUUACGAAUAGCCCGGAGGAAAGUAAAAGAAAAAAUCGGCAGGAAAACGAGAGUAGAGGAAAUCCUCGCUUCUCGCCGUUUCGAUUUCUACGUCGCGUAACGAUAUAACAGGUGGUGUCCGAUUUCAGCCCCGAGCUAUCGUGUCCGGAACUUCGUUCCUCCGGUACUUAUCUUCGUUUCUCGUCCGCGUUUCGGCAAAGUCGUCGCGCUACUCGGUCAAGUGUCGAGAGAUUUUCGACGUCGUCCUCCUCCUUAACUAGCAGAAAUUUCGCGCUACCGAAAGCUUAUUCCCGACGGGAGAAGUUUGUUCGUGGAUGGCUGCACGGUACAUUUUCUAAAGAAAUAUUUUGCGGCUUCCUCUCUCGCUGGUUCAGGGCGUCGAGGAAAAUUCGUUUUUCCCCGGAAGAAGAGCCAUAUAGUCGCCUCGUCCCGAUCUCCGUUCCAGCCAGGCGCCGAGAAGCGUCCCGGCGUGUCGUAGCACGCGCGUCCCCAGCCCGACUCCGUAAACUUUCGCUCCGAUCCCUCUCUUCGCGGUCUCGAGAAACUCCGUCACGGUUGCCGGGCUAAUUCCCUGGCAUUUCCCGCGCCCCGUUAACCAGCUAAUUGCGCGCCUUCUGUCUACUGCCUCGUCCACCGACAUCCUAGCUGCCAGCUUCCUUUCCGCUCCGAGCCCCUCCUUGCCAUCCGAUCCUUUUACCUUUCUCCGUUUUCCGGCUGAAACGCGCGAAACGCUUAAUUACUUCUUCUACCGACCUUUCCGUACCUCACGAUAUUUUUUCUUUUUCGAACACGCUCCAACGAACUGCUCUCCGUGUCGUUGCGAAUCUCCGCGGACUCGAUUCUUUAUCGCGUAAAUGCUGAAAGGGAAAUCGAUGCGACGGAAACUCGGAUUCCGCAAGAUCGAUUAGGCGAAUUUUCGUUCGAAACUAGUUAGGGAAGAAGGUUCGAUCGCGAAAUUAUGCAACCGCGCGACACGUUAGGUUCGAAACGAUAGAAAGGGUUCGAGGCCGGUAUCGAAUAUCGCGUCGCCGCACCGUGACGUGUCGCGGUUAGGAAGAACGAAUCGGAACCGACGCGCGCGAAACUUUACCGUCCCGAAACUAACGGCGACUGGCAAAAUAUUUGACCAACUUUAAGGAUUACGAGCAGUCCCGAACAUUUCCUCGCUGUACAACUUUUCGUACCGACUCCUAUCCGCGAGCCGCUUCUCGAUUCCGUUUCGGUAACUCGGUUUUCGAAUAUAUCGCGACCGCGAUAAUUGCAACACGGACGCGGGUCGAAAACAUACCUUCCGCGUCGGGAUUACCUCGAAGAAUUAGCGAGAAAGAAGCAGGGAUAAGAACCGAGUCGGAAACAAAAGGAAAACUCGAUAACGGAGCUCUCGAUAACGAGCUCGCUCGAGCAUUCGCGAGGAAGAUGGAACUCGAGAUCGAAUUUUGUUGGCGGCAGACGAUAAAAAACGUAGACUCACCGGCGAAAGUUUUCUUCGCGAAGCAUCCGAAUUGUUUUCUUUUUUUCCUAGCGCGUGGAACCCAGCCAGAAUCGAGAGGGCGAAACGAAUUGGCGGGCGUCGAGAAACGAGGCAAACUAGAAUUUUUCGGUAGCACGGAUUUCCCCGGUGCUCGUCUAACCGUCACGGUCGACGCGCGCUUCUCAAAAGCGUCGUCUCGCUGACUUAUUUGGCGCCGCGAACGAGUUUCUCUCGGCUUUCGAAUAUUCGACGUUCUCGCGGCACCGCUAUUUUUCCUCCUUCCAACGUAACGUUCGUAUCCGAGGCGAGCUUUCAGAGCUCGACGAUCCUCUUUCCGCGGCGAAAGAGCGCGACCCCGGUGAAUGGCCCGUCGUCUCGAGCGCGAAAAAACCGGCUAGCUGCCGACAAGAGCGGAAGGAAACCGAUCGCCGGCCGAAUCGUUUCUCCUCUUCUCGAAGCUGCCAACUAACGCCUCGGACGAGCAGACGGUCGAAGGGACGUGCCAAUUUGCACCGGGAGGACGUCCUCGGAAGUUUACGCCGGCUACGGUUGACCGGACGAAUUCGGACGGACGUCUGUCAGCCGAAAACUGGCAACUCGCGCGUUUAACGACGAAACGAGGCGUCGUAACGCUUUCGAGCGCACGGAAUCGGAAUAACCGCAAAUCCCAGUUGCAACUUAUCCGUCCGCGUCCAAGCCAGCUUUCCGCUCCGCAAAAUAUCGCUCUCUUCCGCGCUUACCUCCUACUCUCUAGUCGACGUUUCUCGUUUCGUGCGUGUUUAGGUCGCGUCACCCUUCCGACGGAUCGAUCGACGAUCUCGACGCAUCGUCCGUUUCGGAACAAGGUCUCCGGAAAAGCUGUUCGGUCCGUAGCCGCUCCGACCGUUCGCGAAUACGCGCGGAUAAAGGACGGAACGUUAUUACGUCCAGAGUAUCGCGAAAAAUACGCGGACUAAGCGGAUUUCCGUCGCGCUUGGCCAAGUUUGUCCGGAUAAAAUCCUGACCGCUUUCUCUCGACCGAGAUCUUCUUUCGCGGUCGGUUCCACGACUUUGCCGCUCUCCCCUUUAUUCGACCGGAUGGAGCGUAAAGCCGGAAGCCAGCCGACCAGACAAUAAUGGCGAUGGAACCGCGACGCGACACCGUUUACCGAAAGUUACGCUCGUACAAGCGUUUAUACCGGUUGAUCGUUUUGCCGAUUCAGCCGUGAAACCCGUAAUCGGUUUAUCCGGCACGAACAGAACUAUUUCGCUUCGCGGAAUCAAUCGAGAAACAGCUUCUGCCUGCGACGCGAUCGCGCGUACGGUAGCCGCUUUAUCGCGACGAUAUCGCGAUGCGAAAGCUUUCCCUGCAGGAUGUAAACCGUGCAUUCGUAAAGUUCCGUUUCUUUGUCUCGGAAGAUCGAGCUUCCGUCUUACGAGAAAAGCGUAUUUAACGAUCGUCCCGCUAAACUUUUCGUCGUAUAGAUCGGACGAAGAGAAACGGUCGCGCGUAAUCGUUUUACGAGCCAACUUUUCAUAGACGUUAAAAGUGACCGUCGUUCUUCUGACCCGACGGCGGUAGCGACGUCCCAAUUAGGAAACGAAACGCGACGGAAGACGACUCGCUUUCGAGAAAAUACGAUCGCGGAGACCGAUGAGUACGGAGGACUAUGCUUCGCUAUCACGAAAGACAUAAAGGCAACCUGGCGCGUUCCAUUAGAGCGAUGUCUACGGCGUAGCUAUCAGCGGUAACGGACCAGCUGACGCGGCAAUGCAAACGCUACCUUUCCACCCAACGCAAACACCCUCGUCUGUCCUUUGCCCAACCGCGCGUUAUACCCGAUGCACAUACCUACGCGUCCCUUUCUAUCGGAUAUAACCAUUUGCAUUUUACAACUAACCGCAGCCCUCGUCGAGUUACCUAACCGAAAACACGUCCUUUCUUCCUCGAUCGAAUCGGUCCGCGUCCCGAACGCGAUAGUCCUUUCCCACGGAAAAUCUUUCCGUCGGCGAGUCGUUCCAUCGGUUUCCGUCAAGCAAUCUCCGUCCGAUUAUCUCGACUCGAACUCGCGACAACGCGGACAGAUCUUAAUACUCGUAGUUUCUUAAGUGCCGACCAAGUUCUCUCUGUUCCUUCCAAUUAUAACCUUCGAAAGCUCCAACAGCCCGUGACGCAAGAGCUUGGAUGCAUAUCGAGUUACGACUCCGUUGCUCGCUAUCUACCAAAUACCGUAACUCCCUGUAGCGAUGCCGUAGGUUCGUCCACGAGUACCGUGUACUACGUAUUAACCUCCUUACGGACGUUAGCUACCGAGGUUGGCUAAUGCGCACUGUUGUACGCGCAAAUCUCGCGGACCAACUCUGUUGGACGCGAAUCGAACGCGUUCGUAACUCGAGUUUGUCGGGGAUACGCGAGAUAAGCUGUUGGAAUAGCCAAGUACACGUUGUACUCGAAACGUCUAAACGGAGCGAGAGAGAGAACGGCGUUUAUACCGACGUUUGCUAAAUUUAAUUCCACGACCGCGAAAGCCUACCCCGCAGAUCGCAGGCCACGAGGAUCGACGAGAGAUCGAAACGCGGCCUCGAUAACGCUCGACUUCCGUUGUUCAACUUUUUGUUUUCAAUUAUUCCUCGCGGUUUACGCCGACUCGAAAAAAAGUUGUACGCGUUCGACUAAAGUUUGCUUAUUUAUUGAAAGUCGGUGAAUCGUUAACUCGGCAUUUUUCUACGAAUCUACAUAUUUUCAGAGUCUCGAAGUUCUCGCGCGAUUCCAUUUGCUUGGUCGGUAAGAAGAAGAGUAAACCGAACGGAAACAACACGGUAGAGGAUAAAAUCGACGAUGGAUUUGUCCGAAAGAGGCUUCGAUCCAGACUUCGGCGUAUUUUUCCAGUCGCGGAAACCCGAAGCGAGUUUCGCGCGAUUCCCGCUUCGAUAAAUACUUACUUAAUCGAUCGAGAUUCGCCACGAUGUUAGACGUUUCUUUAUCCGUUACCACGAGUUCGUAAUGGGUAAUCACCGAACCGAUGUUCGACGCGAUCGCUCCGUUUAAAGUCGUUUCGUUCGGGACAAGUGUUUUCCUUCAAAAUUUUAUCCUCGAUUUUUCCAACAAAGACAAUUUGUUGAUGCGCGAAUGAUUAAAAAAGGGAAAUAACGUUACUACUCGCCGAAAGCGAAGAUGAUGGUCAAUCCCAAUAGACGAUCGAGCAUCGCAACCAACAACUUCGAAGCUUUGUGCAGGUGAAAAGACGCUGGUUCGAGGAAAAGCGAAAACGAGUUUAUCUCGCAGUGGCCAGGCGCUUCUUUCGUUUCUCGAACGAACGCGAUCGCCGUUGGUUAGAGUACCGGUGUGCUGGCGUAAUAUUUCGCGGGUUUUUUCCUUCGCGAUCAAUCGCGCUAAUUCCGCGCAGUUUCCUACCUUCCGAAGCGAAACUACGCCGUCGGUCAUUAGGUUCGUUUCACCAGCCUAUACGAUUUCAAUUAGGCUAAUGAUUUCACCGAGGUGCGCGUCAUUUUCGCCGGGAACGCGUUUCGGCUCAGAUAUUUUCCCGCGUAUUUGCCUGAUUGGAUUUACCAAAAGUUUUUGCAGCUCCCGAACGUCCGACGCGUUUCGCCUGGCGGCAGAAAUUAGCGCGCGGCGUGAUAUACGAACGAAACAAAGUAGCGUCGCGAUCGUGUGUUUCCUAAAUCGACGAGGUUGUCCGCGCUUCCUACAAAGUUACGUAGUACGGAAAAACGUCGGGCUUUCGUGCGUCUCGAAAGAACGUGGUUGUUUUUGUUUAACGCUUUCGUCGGUGCCGGCGACCGAGAGAAAAGGACGGCUUUUUCGAAAGUUUUUCCGGUUUAUCGAGACAGAAAAGCAGAGGGAAGAAAGUCGCGCGAGCAAGAGGCUCGGAGAAGAAUGGCGGACGACGAAGCGGGAAAAAAGUAACGGGCGUCGGCGCGUGGUAGUAACGGCGUUGUGUACCGAGUGCCGCGAACACAAGGACCGUCAGCUCGCUCGUUCGCCCUCGAGCGGAUCGACGAACGACGCGGACAAUGCGGAGUGUCGCGCACCACGGAUGCUACCAACGGCAUAGACAAAAGCCCGGGAAAGAAUUAAUGGCGGGCGGGCCGACUCUUUCCCACCGUUCCAAAUGCCCCAACGCGCACCGAAUCUUUCGACCAUUGCACUCGCCUUUCUUGCCGCGUUCGCUCCUCUCUUUUUUCCUCUUUUCCCCUUUUCCCCAUUUUCCCUGUAUCCCUGUAAACGAGUUACAGAGCUCGGCCAACCUCGUCUACCGGGUGAAAAGAUGGAAAUAAAAUAGGGGCAGAAUCACGGAUCGCUGCCGCCGAAAUUAAGUGGUCUCGCAUCGGGGGAGACGACGACGACGCGUUUUUCCCGCUCGAUGAAUCAUACGGGAAAGAAUAUCGAGAACCUCUCGACCAUCCUCGAUCCUGGUUUCCGCUCUACCCGGCCACUCCGCUGAAUUUACGAUCGGGUCGCGGGAACGGCAGGAAAAA